rnacentral:rRNA from 1 species
UACGUAGGGGGCGAGCGUUGUCCGGAGUUACUGGGCGUAAAGCGCUUGUAGGCGGUCCACCAAGUUUGGGGUGACAGUUGCCGACUUAAUCGGCAAAGUGCCUCAAAGACUGGCGAACUUGAGAGCCACAGAGGGACAUGGAACUCCAGGUGUAGUGGUGAAAUGCGUAGAUAUCUGGAAGAACACCAAAGGCGAAGGCAGUGUCCUGGGUGGUCGCUGACGCUGAGAGGCGAAAGCCAGGGGAGCGAACGGG